AUUGAACGCUGGCGGCAUGCUUUACACAUGCAAGUCGAACGGUAACAGGGAGCUUGCUCCGCUGACGAGUGGCGAACGGGUGAGUAAUAUAUCGGAACGUACCCAAGAGUGGGGGAUAACGUAGCGAAAGUUACGCUAAUACCGCAUACGAUCUAAGGAUGAAAGCAGGGGAUCUUCGGACCUUGUGCUCCUGGAGCGGCCGAUAUCUGAUUAGCUAGUUGGUGAGGUAAAGGCUCACCAAGGCGACGAUCAGUAGCUGGUCUGAGAGGACGACCAGCCACACUGGAACUGAGACACGGUCCAGACUCCUACGGGAGGCAGCAGUGGGGAAUUUUGGACAAUGGGCGCAAGCCUGAUCCAGCAAUGCCGCGUGAGUGAAGAAGGCCUUCGGGUUGUAAAGCUCUUUUGUCAGGGAAGAAACGGGAGUGGCUAAUAUCCAUUCCUAAUGACGGUACCUGAAGAAUAAGCACCGGCUAACUACGUGCCAGCCGCCGCGGUAAAAC
rnacentral:rRNA from 1 species